rnacentral:rRNA from 1 species
AAACCAACAGGGAUUGCCCCAGUAGCGGCGAGUGAAGCGGCAAGAGCUCAGAUUUGAAAUCUCAUCCCUCACGGGGUGCGAGUUGUAAAUUGCAGGUUGGGAAAUCUCGGAGUAGCAUGUGUGUGCAAGUCCCUUGGAACAGGGCGCCACUGAGGGUGAGAGCCCCGUAGCGUGCAUGUGGUGCUUCUAUGAGAUCCCUUCUGACGAGUCGAGUUGUUUGGGAAUGCAGCUCUAAGUGGGUGGUAAAUUCCAUCUAAGGCUAAAUAUUGGCGAGAGACCGAUAGCGAACAAGUACUGUGAAGGAAAGAUGAAAAGCACUUUGAAAAGAGAGUGAAACAGCACGUGAAAUUGUUGAAAGGGAAGGGUAUUGGGCCCGACAUGGGAUUUACGCAUCGUUGCCUCUCGUGGGCGGCGCUCUGNGUUUUUCCUGGGCCAGCAUCGGUUUCCGUUGCAGGAUAAAGACCGAUUGGAAUGUGGCUCCCUUCUUCGUGGGGGAGUGUUAUAGCCAUCGGUAAAUGCUGCGUACAGGGGACCGAGGACUGCGGCGUUCACUCGUCUCGGAUGCUGGCACAACGGCGCAAUACCGC